rnacentral:rRNA from 1 species
CUCCCAGUAACGGCGAGUGAACGGAGAUUAGCCCGUCACCGAAGUCCGAUGCACUUGCAUAGAGGACAAUGUGGUGUUGAGGCGUGUACCUGGGGCCCGUGUACCUACCCGAAGUCCAACUUCGAUUGUGGCUUGGAUUUUGCCCAGAGCGGGUGAAAGGCCCGUACGGGUAGGCUGUUGAUCGCGAGCGCGGCCCUCAGAUGUGCAUGCUUUCGAGUCGGAUUGCUUGUGAAUGCAGUCCAAAGUGGGUGGUAAACUCCAUCCAAGGCUAAAUACUGGCACGAGUCCGAUAGUAGACAAGUACCGUGAGGGAAAGUUGAAAAGUACUCUGAAGAGAGAGUAAAUAGUACGUGAAACCGAUUGCAGGGAAGCUGGUGGAGUCAAGCUUCAUGCCUGGUGAAUUAUCGCUCCGAGUUUGUUGGUGCUUUGGGCAUGAUGCCGGUUAGCUUGGAAAGAGUUGGGCACACUCGUGUGCUUCAAGUCGGCCCGGGCAUGGUUGAUUGGGCCGGCAUCAUAGCUCUGCUUGAAGCGAUCUAUUCAUCGCGGCAUAGAUCAUGGUCGAUAGCGUGUUGCUCACGUGCUGUCCGACUGUCUAACUGUGCUUUGGUUGGUCUGCGACUGGCCCGGUACAGGAUGGCAGGUGGUAGCUGUGCCCCUUGUGUGCAUGGCUGCUAAAGCUGGUCUCGACCGGCUGACAGUCGGACGGUAUCGUCGCUAUUGUGGAUGUGUGGUGUGCGGUCCACGGACUGUACGCUGCUCAUAACUGUGA